AUUAGAGUGAGGAGUCAUAAUUUAAUUUAAUGAAGAUUAAGUAAGCUUGUAAAAAAAUAAAAGAAGUGGUAUGUAAAUCAGUUAAAUGAGUUCAAGCCCCGGUGAUGGGUAACCUCACUAGAAAGUGACCAUAGGUCCAGUGGCUAUUCCAAUUCCGGUGAAAUCUUGUAAGACCCUUAAUUUGUAAUACCUCUAUUUGCAUAGCCUGGUAUAUUUUACUGUUCCGGUGACCGGUAUCGGUCCGGACAAUUAAGGAGAUUAGAAUCACAUCUAAGACACUUAGAUAAGUCCUGAAUACAAAUAAUUAGUAAUU
rnacentral:misc_RNA from 1 species